rnacentral:rRNA from 1 species
AUCGAACGCUGGCGGCAUGCCUUACACAUGCAAGUCGAACGGCAGCACGGGAGCAAUCCUGGUGGCGAGUGGCGAACGGGUGAGUAAUAUAUCGGAACGUGCCCAGUCGUGGGGGAUAACGUAGCGAAAGCUACGCUAAUACCGCAUACGAUCUACGGAUGAAAGCGGGGGAUCGCAAGACCUCGCGCGAUUGGAGCGGCCGAUAUCAGAUUAGCUAGUUGGUGGGGUAAAAGCUCACCAAGGCGACGAUCUGUAGCUGGUCUGAGAGGACGACCAGCCACACUGGAACUGAGACACGGUCCAGACUCCUACGGGAGGCAGCAGUGGGGAAUUUUGGACAAUGGGCGCAAGCCUGAUCCAGCAAUGCCGCGUGCAGGAUGAAGGCCUUCGGGUUGUAAACUGCUUUUGUACGGAACGAAACGGUGAGCUCUAAUAAAGCUUGCUAAUGACGGUACCGUAAGAAUAAGCACCGGCUAACUACGUG